CUCGCGCGUCACUGACCGCGAGAGCAAACGCUAUCCUUUCCGACUGGCGGGAAUGGGAGGAAAGGUCUGAUUCCUUGGAACUGGGAGGAGUUUCGAGAUCAAACAAGUCUAAUCACAUCUGACAGCCCACAUAUUUAAAAAGAUAGAUAAUGCACUGUUUCAAGCACUGUGCUAAAAUAAAGACUAUGAAUGCAAGUACAAGCAAAACGAUAGUCCCUAUCUUUACAUGCUAAUGUGAGAAGAUGAAACAUAAAAGGAUGAAGCCUAAUGUUGAAUAUAAAGACAACUUCAAUUGAUGUUCAAUUCUUCACCUGCUAUCACCUUCUUGACAUGAGCACAGUGAAUCCAAGAUGUCUUCUCCUCAACUUUUAUAGCAGUGUGUGCUGUUAAUAAAAUUUGAUAAGGACCUUCCCAG